rnacentral:rRNA from 1 species
UACAGAGGUCCCGAGCGUUGUUCGGAUUCACUGGGCGUAAAGGGUGCGUAGGCGGCGCGGUAAGUCGGGUGUGAAAUCUCGGAGCUUAACUCCGAAACUGCAUUCGAUACUGCCGUGCUUGAGGACUGGAGAGGAGACUGGAAUUUACGGUGUAGCGGUGAAAUGCGUAGAUAAUCGGAAGGAACACCAGUGGCGAAAAGCGGGCUU